CCUACGGGAGGCAGCAGUGGGGAAUCUUGCGCAAUGGGCGAAAGCCUGACGCAGCAACGCCGCGUGCGGGAAGAAGGCCUUCGGGUUGUAAACCGCUUUCAGCAGGAACGAAAAUGACGGUACCUGCAGAAGAAGGAGCGGCCAACUACGUGCCAGCAGCCGCGGUGACACGUAGGCUCCAAGCGUUGUCCGGAUUUAUUGGGCGUAAAGAGCUCGUAGGCGGUUCAGUAAGUCGGGUGUGAAAACUCUGGGCUCAACCCAGAGCCUGCAUUCGAAACUGCUGUGACUAGAGUUUGGUAGGGGAGCGGGGAAUUCCUAGUGUAGCGGUGAAAUGCGCAGAUAUUAGGAGGAACACCGGUGGCGAAAGCGCCGCUCUGGGCCAAUACUGACGCUGAGGAGCGAAAGCGUGGGUAGCAAACAGGAUUAGAUACCCUGGUAGUCCACGCCGUAAACGAUGGGCACUAGGUGUGGGUUUCAACUACGAAAUCCGUGCCGUCGCUAACGCAUUAAGUGCCCCGCCUGGGGAGGUACGGUCGCGAGACGUAAACGUUAAAUAGAAGUUAGACGGUCGUGUAGACGUUGUCCGAACGGACGACGACGAGGGAGGAGG
rnacentral:rRNA from 1 species